rnacentral:rRNA from 1 species
GACGAACGCUGGCGGCGCGCCUAACACAUGCAAGUCGAACGAGAGAGAGGGAGCUUGCUUCCUCAAUCGAGUGGCGAACGGGUGAGUAACGCGUGAGGAACCUGCCUCAAAGAGGGGGACAACAGUUGGAAACGACUGCUAAUACCGCAUAAGCCCACGACCCGGCAUCGGGUUGAGGGAAAAGGAGCAAUCCGCUUUGAGAUGGCCUCGCGUCCGAUUAGCUAGUUGGUGAGGUAAUGGCCCACCAAGGCGACGAUCGGUAGCCGGACUGAGAGGUUGAACGGCCACAUUGGGACUGAGACACGGCCCAGACUCCUACGGGAGGCAGCAGUGGGGAAUAUUGCACAAUGGGGGAAACCCUGAUGCAGCGACGCCGCGUGGAGGAAGAAGGUCUUCGGAUUGUAAACUCCUGUUGUUGAGGAAGAUAAUGACGGUACUCAACAAGGAAGUGACG